AAAGUAGUGAAGUAUGUGAGCCAUGUACCGAGAAAAGCCGCUAUCGUUUUAUAUGUGCCCGUACCGUAAACCGACACAGGUGGAUGAGGAGAGAAUCCUAAGGCCGACGGAAGAAGCAUUGUUAAGGAAUUCGGCAAAAUGACCCCGUAACUUCGGGAGAAGGGGUGCCCACUGAAUGGUGGGCCGCAGAGAAUAGGCUCAAGCAACUGUUUAGCAAAAACACAGGUCUAUGCGAAACCGAAAGGUGAAGUAUAUGGGCUGACGCCUGCCCGGUGCUGGAAGGUUAAGAGGAGAGGUUAGCGCAAGCGAAGCUUUGAAUUUAAGCCCCAGUAAACGGCGGCCGUAACAAUAACGGUCCUAAGGUAGCGAAAUUCCUUGUCGGGUAAGUUCCGACCCGCACGAAAGGCGUAAUGAUUUGAGCACUGUCUCGGCAAUGCAUCCGGUGAAAUUGAAGUACCAGUGAAGAUGCUGGUUACCCGCGCCAGGACGGAAAGACCCCAUGGAGCUUUACUCCAGUUUGAUACUGGGAUUCGGUACUGCACGUACAGGAUAGGUGGGAGACUGAGAACUAUGGACGCCAGUCUGUAGGGAGUCGCUGUUGGGAUACCACCCCUGUAGUACUGGGUUUCUAACCAUCUGCCGUGAUCCGGCAGUGGGACAAUGUCAGGCGGGGAGUUUGACUGGGGCGGUCGCCUCCGAAAGGGUAUCGGAGGCGCUCGAAGGUUCCCUCAGAAUGGUCGGAAACCAUUUGAAGAGUGCAAAGGCAGAAGGGAGCUUGACUGCGACACCGACGGGUGGAGCAGGUACGAAAGUAGGACUUAGUGAUCCGGUGGUAUAAAGUGGGAUUGCCAUCGCUCAACGGAUAAAAGCUACCCUGGGAUAACAGGCUUAUCACUCCCAAGAGUUCACAUCGACGGAGUGGUUUGGCACCUCGAUGUCGGCUCAUCGCAUCCUGGGGCUGUAGCAGGUCCCAAGGGUUGGGCUGUUCGCCCAUUAAAGCGGUACGCGAGCUGGGUUCAGAACGUCGUGAGACAGUUCGGUCCCUAUCCGGCGCGGGCGGAGGAUAUUUGAGAGGAGCUGUCCUUAGUACGAGAGGACCGGGAUGGACGGACCACUGGUGUAUCUGUUGUCGACCAACGGCAUGGCAGAGUAGCCAAGUCUGGAAGGGAUAAACGCUGAAGGCAUCUAAGCGUGAAGCCCCCCUCAAGAUGAGAUAUCCCUCCUUCGGGAGUAAGACCCCUUGAAGACUACAAGGUAGAUAGGGCAGAGGUGGAAGUGUGGCAACACAUGGAGCUGACUGUUACUAAUAGGUCGAGGGCUUGAUCA
rnacentral:rRNA from 1 species